UGUUUGUCUUAUAUUUUCUAAUCCUCCUGGGGGUUCUUAGGGUGGGGGGUGGCUAUGUCUAUUUAUUUAUUUUUAUUAUUCUCCCUGUCUCUUUCCUCAUUUAGUUAUAUGUGGGAAAGAAAUGUGCAAAAAGGAAAAAAGUGCAGACAAUGUUUUCUCUUUUAUGAUUGUUUGUUUUUCAUUUUGUCUGUAUAAUAAAAAUUGGGGUAAAAAAAAAAAAAAAAAUACAGUUCUGUAAGAGACCUUUACUUCAACUAAAUCACCAACGUUAUACUGUAUGCCACAGCCUGAGAGACAGCAGAAAUUCCCACCUUAGUGCAGUGUGUCAAGGAACUAAUAUCCUCAAUGAACAGAGGGAUCGAUACAGCAAGCACAAGCUCAGGGUCCUCCAGCUCAGCCCAAGAGAUGGUAUGUUAUUGUAUGUGUUUUGUGAAAUACUAAUCAUUCAAAACAAAAAUUUUAACUCUUAAACUCUGCAGACCCGGUACCGGGUCCGAAAAUAGCAUGCCAGAUGUUUGUGUCUCAUUUGCAUAUCCUUCCUUAUAUGGCAUUUGCCCAGAAAUGGGUUCAUUUGAAAGCUUAGAGUGCUUUCUUUACAAAGAAUACCAUUAAUUGGGGUUUUAUGAUACAUAAAGUAGUCAAAUUAAGCUAAGAAAUAUAUUCCCCCCCCCAUAAAUUUCCAUCUAACGAUUGCGAAUACGUUUUCGUAAGAAUGUGUAUUUAAAAUAUUUUUCACAAAACAGUCAAGUCAUAUAUCACAAGAAAGCUCUCAUUCUCAGGAAUCUGAUGAUGUAGAUCAUUUUAUUGUGUGACAAUCACAGAUCGAAUGAUCUUCAACAGAAUCGCGAUGUAAAAUUUCUCACCUUAUUAUUUAUACAUUUUGCACCGCUUCAGUCAGCCGCAAACAGCCACGCAUACCUAUAUACUCGAUAUAAUCUUUUAGAUUAGAAUCUCUUCUUUCAAACAAGACCAUUUUUACGUUUCUGCGUGCUUCCAUUGCUGAGAUAUAAAGCGUUUUGUACAAGUGCGCAAAAGCGCUCCAAGGGCUGUAUUAUUGAAAAGAUCUUCAAGUCAUAUAGACGGGUCUAAAUGCCUUUCUUCUGCUAUAGACGUCUGUUUUCUUUUGUGAAGCGCUAUUUGUCCUGAUAGGUGCAAUUCACAAGUCGUUCCCUCCAAUCGAAGCUGUGAUUCAGCACCGCGGGGGUGCUGGAACUGGACAGCGACUGCCCACUCCUUUUCCGCUUGUGUGACGCAAUGAUGUCUGGGAAACUGAGUUUUUUGCUGCUUCUAAACAAAGGCCACGCGAGGCAAAACUACUAAUGGCCGAAGCUCCGGAUUUAUAAUGCAUAAUAUUCAUAAAACAAGUUCUGGGUGGCCACCUUCGCCGUGGAGAGGUCAGGAUGCGCAUCUGGUAAGCCUAUACGCGUGCUACUCGCUUUCAUACAUUUGAUUCUUUAUUCUGAGG
rnacentral:lncRNA from 1 species